rnacentral:lncRNA from 1 species
GCAGGAGACUAAACCAGCAAAGUUCUUCAAGAUUUGUUUCCUUCCUCUGAAUGUGCAGCUGUCCAACCUGAAGUCUUCGGUAUGUGUGUCAGAAACUUAAAGGGAUAUUCCGGCGUAAAAUUACUUAGGUCGCGUUCAUUCACACCUAUACGUCAUCAAUAUGCGACAAACGUCACCAUUAUUCGACGACACAAACAGGCGAGGAAAGCAAUUUAUGCUUUGUGCACAUGCGGGUCACUUCACGGACGCAUUCUGUUUACAUUAGAUGCUGCAUUUGUUGUUGGAAUGUGAACGACCGCACAAAAAGAUCGGAUUUAAGAAAAAAUCCGAAUUGUGCAUCAGAACCUGCAGUGUGAACGUAGACUUAUAUUCCAGAAAAUACGGUAAGUGGAAGUGAUGCACAUGAGUUGACUAUAGUGGAGAUGUCCGAACCUGCACUUAACGUUGAUUUAAAGGACUGAAGUCUGUUGAAUAUUUGCAGAAAAUCUUCCUUUUAUUCUGGUUUUAAAGCUGCAGUUUGGAGUCUUUGUACCAGCGUGGGAAAAGUGCGUUUGGCGUCGUGCCUUGAAUGCAGACGUAAAACAUCAGCUGUCACUCAGUCAGCUGUGAUGACAUGACAGCUCGUCUCUCUGACCUGCCAGCAGCUCCACCUUUAAUCUCAGUUUUAUUCCAUCAACAUCAAACUGUCCGAGGCCACGAGGAAAUCACUCUUCUAACCGCGUUCCAAUCCACUCGUCAGGGUGUGUACGAAUGUUUUAUAACCUGAUUUACAUAACACUGAAACCUACUUACAGCUGAGCUCUGUUUAUGAGGACAUGCAGAUGCUGCAGAUUAAAGUGAAUUAACUUGGGAAGUGAGUAAACUUGAACUUUCAGCUGUUUUUAAGUGUUUUUCCACCAGACACCGAGUUUCCUCCAGCAAAAACAAAAAAAACAGAGAGUCAGAAAGAACAGCUCGACCCUGACCUGCAGACCUAAAUCACCUGAGCUCGUAAAGUCGGCGUGAAGCUGGCACACACUCAGGGAUCCUCUUUCAUAACACACACACAAACACACAAGCAUCGAGCCAGAGGUGGAGGGAUGUCCGAGGUUACAGGCCACAGCUGCAGAAGGUCAAAAGUCAAGGUGGAGAGGUGAGAGAGGAGGUUUAACUGGAAAUAGGAGACUGGAGGUCGUCUUCCCUGAAGGAUUAUCGGUGUUACGGUUCAAGGACGUCAAAAAAAGACGAGGGUCAGGUCAAAGCGAGCUCUUAAUGUGACGCUUAAAACACGUUUAUAUUCAUGCAUUCAUAAAAACAGUUAAAAUAAUAGAAUAAAAACGACUUUAAAUGGAUUUAAACACUGAUGGAGGAUCCUCAGAUCUCAGGUUGUUUACCUGAGGAGGUCAAGGGGUCAAACCCCGCCCCCUUAUAUAUGGCGAUUUAUUAUAUUUCUAUGAUAUCAUGUGUUUGUUUUCGGUCUUUUGCUGACCCCCUCAGCUGCUUCUUUGUUAACUUUAACCCGACUGAAUAAAAUAUUUUCACCUGUUAUGACCCAGAGUUUAACUGCUUUUAUUCUCUUUUCUGAAUGUCUUAUUGUUAAUUUUUUGUUUUUAAAGGUUUUGAAUCCCGACUAUUGAUGCAAACUGAAGAUUUUUUGUUCAUCCAGGUGUGAGUGAGGAUCUCUCCUGCUCUGUAGCCUCCUGUCACCCACCCCUCCGCCUCCUCAGGGUGCUCCACUUUAUUCAGUCCAUUACUCACCGCAGUGCUGGAUUACUCACACCUCCAGUCCCUCGCUCUUUGUCACGGCAGAAAAAUAAAUGCCUUCGUACAAAGAGACAAACACCGACGCAGCAGAAUCCUCUCCAACCAACACACACGUCUGAAGCUGCGGUAAGAAACAGAAACAAAUUGGACCUGCUGACCUUCUGAAAACACACACACAAAUACACACACAUGUCUAAAUAACACUCACAGUUAUUUAGCAACAAUACAGUUAUGUAACUUCAGAAACAAUGAGACGCUGCGACUUCAAAAAGCUCGACCGCAAGAGCGGAGAUUAAAUUUCUCAAAGGAUUUGCACAAAUAUGACGAAGCUGUUCGUCACCCAGAUUUGACAGGGUCUGAUCAGGAUUACACAACCUGCAGGAGGACGAACCCGAACACUGGAAUUUUUCAGCUUUCAGAAAAACAGAAUAUGUAGUGAAGGAAUGAUGCGUAUUCGGCUGUGAGGGAUGCAUUCAGAGUCUUUUGGUCUGGUUGGAUUUUUCAACCGGCUUCUAACAGCGGUCUAAGACAGGCCUCCAGCUCAGGUGUGGUGGAAGUGAACGCAGUAACACCCGGGUCCUCAUUUAUCAACCGUGUGUAGAAAAGGUUUUAAAUUCUGACUACAGCGGGGUGACGCAGCUCAAGGAAGAAAUGAUCAUAAAUGUUCUUCCUUGAGCUGCGUCACCCCGCUGUAGUCUGUAAUGGAUUGGCCGAGGUCUCCAUACAAACAAGCAGCUGCUGGAAGAGAGUAGCGGAGUUGUGUUUAGUCUCUUUGCUAAAGAAAUUAUUUGUGGCUAUAGAGUGGCGUUUCGGUUGAGGGCGUGGCUCUGUGUAUUGCUAUCGUGCGGUCGUUACUAAAGUUGGUAUAACUAGAGAAUCAAGCGGUCGGCAACAUUCAUCUCUUGUCGGGGUGUCUAAUGCUGGAAUAUCCCUUUAAAAGCCGAGCUAAAUCCCGGCGUGCUCAGUCGGAUCUGUAACACCUUCACUCUGAGUUGUAAACAGCAGGCGAUUGAUUUGUGUCUGCUGGACUUUAGAGCAAUCCACCUGAGGAGUUUGCGUCAUCAGACCCAAUCAGCUGUCAAUCAUUUCUACGGUUAUCACCUGAAGAAAGGUGAAAUUAUGACCUUCAGAGUUGAUUUAACACCUCAGUGACACACUUUAGGAGAUAUUGCAGGGCUGCUGUGUUGCAAACUGUGGCGUGCGUUGAGAAACUUCAGACCUGGAGACGCAUGCAGCACUUCAAUCAUGAGAAAGACUCAGUUUGAGACGUUGAAUUUGAGGAGAAAUGCGUAAAUCCUCCUUUCGCGCCUCUCUAAGCUUCUCUCUCUGGGUUGUGGGACAUCUGUUGCGCCGCAGGACGCCUCACUUCCUUUCAAACUGAGCUCAGAGGUUUUAUCUCCCCCCCUGGUACUUACCUCGUCACCUGCUCUGUCACUUCACACAGGCAGAGGAGAAGGAGACAAAGCCGUCAUUGUUCAAACCUGUCCCAGAAACAGCCAGCGACACAAAGAGAGGCUGACAUGAGAGUCUUUGAAUCUGAAACCCCUGAUCCAGGUGUGCAGGUAGAGUCCGAGCAGGUCUGAGGGUUUACCUCACGCUUUGAAGUCCUCUGUGACGUCAGACUCAGGAACGUGGACCACCAGGCCCUGUAGGACAGCUCUCAACAAGCUCAGAGACCUGUGCGAUUAGGCACGGGGUCCCACAGGGGUCUGUCCUCGGUCCGCUGUUGUUUUCACUUUACCUGGCACCUGAUUUGCAGUCGUGUACGCCAGACCAGGGGCCUCAUUUAUCAACCGUGCGUACGUACAGAUGUGUGCGUAAUGACUGUGUACGAACAUUCCCACGCAAAGUCUGGAAUUGAUCAACCUGAACUUGUGUUUAAGCACAACUCUGAGCAUGCAUACACACAAACCCUAGUGGUAGAACAGUGAAACUACAAAUACAGCCCAUUAAAGGAGUCGCAGCGUUCAGCAUUCAGUCUCACUCUGUGUUACGGUGCGUUUGACCCUAAAUUAAUUUUGUACCGGAAUAUCCCUUUAACUUCUAGACAGUUAGCUUCUGGUCAGUUACAUUAUUGGCUUAAUCUGGUUCAGGUCUUCCACAUGGUUCCCCAGUCAUAAUGAAACUGUCUUUGAACCCGGCUCAAACAUGCUGUUUUUGCUGUAAAGGUGGAACCUGUUUUAAUAGAUUUGCAUGUGACGUCUGCAGAAAACCUCAAGUGGACGCUAAAGGAACUGCAGUUUUUGGUAAUUCGGCAUCAGCUCGCUCCUAAAAAUCAGAGGUUACACUGAAAAAAAGUCAAACUUUGUGAGUGUUUUUGUCUUAUUUCUGAUCAAAUGUGUCUCUUUAGGUUAAUUUACCGAAAAAUUGUCUGAUAGGUCCAGAAAAGCGGCUUAUUCCAAGACAUUACAAGCCAAAAAAAGGCGACUGUUUGUUAUGAGUAAAAGAAAAUCUGCGAGAAAUGAGACAAAAAAAUUAUUAAGAUUUGAGUUUUUAAAGUGUAUAACUAGAAAACAAAUGUUAUGUGUUGUUGUCAGAGGCAAAUAUCUGCCGCGGGGUCCCACAGGGUUCAGUCCUGGGUCCAACUCUGUUUUCAAAUUCACUGUUAUGCCGAUGACAUGCCUCUUUACAUUCGACAUAGUGGUACAUCACUGAGACUGAGUCCAGGUGUUGUGCAGACUAUGGACAAUACUCUUAUUUGUAUUCCUCAGUUUUUGGCGUUUAGUUUUUCAUGGUUAUCUUUCGAUCUCUUGUUACUCAGUUGUGUAUAAUUUUUCAGGUCCUGAGUUGCCGAGACGCCCCAGAGCUCUGACCCUAACUGCAGCAUCCCUGUUGUGUUUACGAGGUACAAAUUGCACAUUACAUACCUGCAGAGGAAGCUGAAUGCGAUACGGGAUUUCUCAAAAUGCCAUCUGUUCCUACAGUCCAACAGGCCUCGAGCAAAAGCCGGAAAACUUCACGCAGGUAUUCGUCCGGGAGGUCCGACUUAAUGGAGCCAAUUUGGCAGCAUCUAAACGGAAACACUGAAGAGAAAAUGAAAUAAACUGCGAGUUCCUCAUCAGAGUAAUGACAGUGACCUCUCGUCCACCCGCAGCAACAGUUUGGUCUCAUUAAUAAAGAGUCCAGAGGAGGUGAGGUAUUUUCACAGCAGCCUGGAGGAUUCUCAUAAAACUGGGGAAAGGAAAUGUUUUAAUGUCUCUGCUGACAGGACGCUUAAAUAAACACAAUGGAGUUUUUCAGUCGGGGUUACUGGAUGAAGUCAUAGCUGAUGGAUGUUAUUGUCGUAAUUUUUCCAAAAGAUGGUUAUUGUUUGUUUCCUCUCAGUUCACAGCAGCAGGGAACGAGAAGUGAAGAUGUUAGCGCUUAUUUAGGUUCGGGAGAAGAGUUUUAAAUCGAAAAUAUCAGGUUUAACUUCCUGACCAUUGAAGUAAUUCAGAUAAAAUGACACUUAACCAGGGUGUAAAUGUGCCUAUUUGAUGUAAAGUUGGAGAUUUUAACAUGCAGCCAAAUGGAGGUUUGAUCACUUUUAGAGACAGCCCCAAGUGGCCGUCUGAGGAACUGCAGUUUUUGGCAUCUCUAUAUAAGUUUUCCUUUUUUUUCUUUGUUUCUGUUUUAAAGGAUAUUAAGUAUAUAUUUUAAAAAA